UGGCACUGCAAUCUAUAUUGACAUAAAAAUUCUUCAAUCCCACUACUCAACCAGGCUUAAAACCAAGCUCGAGAACAGGUAAUAUAAUAUUGAUAUUGCUAAGGUGGCAUAAGGCAUAAUAAAAAAAUAAAAAAUAAAAAGACUUACAAAAAUGAACAAAAUGUGCAAAACCAUGACUGAUUUUUCAUUUGUUCCCAAACCCUCCGUUUUGCCGCCGCGCCAUCGCCGACCGGAGCACCCAUCGUCGAUCGGAGCACUGGUAGUCACUGACCAAGAAGAGCGAAAAAAAAAGGGAACUCAUUUAUCUCCAACAUUUGAAAGCCCAAAAGUCAAUCGAUUUUUUCCCUGUUCUUCCUUCCAUAACCUUCGACGUUUUUUCCCAAUCUAUUUUGCAUAUAGGUGGCACAGGAUCAAAAGCCAGGCAAGGUCAACACGAUCUUACAGAGGCUAUUGUGGGAGAUGGUUUUAGAUCUGAUGUUGAGAUUCAACGUGGAUUUUUUUGCUCCAUUCAGUCCUAAUUUGGGAGCCAAUUUAGGUUAAAGUUAUAAUGAUCUGCUAAUUUUUAUGACAAGUCAUGUGCCAAGAUUCUUUAGGAAUUGUAUGAGUACUUGAGCUAAAUUCUGGUUUAUUUAACAAUGAUGAUAGUUUGGAUAUGAAAGAGGGGGGCGAUCAAUCAAAUAAAUAUUGCAGUACACAUAUUUUGGAGAUAGAUGAUGAUGAUGAAUUAAAGAAGAAUACUAAGAUUCUUUAGCAUAUCAAGGGUCAAAAUGUAUUAGGAAAGAACUCGUGUGGAAAAGGACGUGAAGGCAGGUUUUUGCUCUGUUCUUGAUCUCCCCUUGCGUGGCAAGUUCUUUCAAGGGGGACCCCCUCGUGAAUUAGACAUUUGCAAUUGAUUCUUUAGUGGUAGCAGGGAUGAUCGGAGAUGGAAGGACUAUUAGAGUACUGGUCUCUAAAGAUGCUCCGUCGGUGAUAGGUGCUCCGGUGGGCAAAGGUACGGCGACGAGAGGGAAGGAGGGUUUGGCACUUAUGCUUCUCGCUUUUGCUUCUCCACUUUGUG
rnacentral:lncRNA from 1 species